CUCCGCUCCGCCGGCCGAGGGAGCAGCGCCGUGCCCCGGCUGCGGCAGCGGGAAGGGCCCGGGGAAGCCAGUCCCCAGGGAGACGGGAACGCGACAAGGCUCUAAUUCCAGGGCACUGCUGCAUGCAGUUGAAUCAAUGGUGGUCACAGCAGAUUCCUGACACCAUGGGAAGGGAUUCUGCUCUUCUUCUUCUUCUUCUGCUUGGUCGUCACACAGACCUCCAAACUGAGCUGAACUUCUGGAAAUCAAGAAAAGACAACAGUUUAUUUAAAAAUAAACAAUGUUUUGGUGCCAUGAUGCCAGGGCAGCAUUGAUGAUUGGACUAAAACCCAGUGGAGAGAGAUUAAUGUGGAACAGAUGGAUGUGAAGCUCAGAAGGUUUGCCAAGGCAGGUUCCACAGCCAUCUAUUUCUGCAAUUUAUCUGUCUCAGUGCCACCCCUUCCUCACUCUUCCCACCCACUUGGAUGUUUCGGUGGGUUUAUUACUCAUGUCCAAACUGAAUGUUCUGGAA
rnacentral:lncRNA from 1 species